AGGAAGGCCGGUGCAGCGGCAGUACUCGCCGGGGCUUCGCGCGCGCCGCACGACCCACACGGAACGCGACAACUUUCCGUUUUAAUAUUUAAAUUUUCACGAAAACUUCGUAACUAUUUUAAUUUGUGAGUGAAGAAGGCGAUUAAUUUGAUUUGGAAUUUUUGACGAGUUCUCGAGAAAUUUGUAGCAGACAGGCGAAAAGGCAGUUAAGGUGACAUCGAAAUCCAACAAAUAGUGCCUAUAUCAGCACAGAUCAUCGGAGCAGAUCGCAUCGAAGCAACUUGUACAGCAGCAGGUUGCAUGCGGUGAGGGCGCGGCGCCGGCGGGCGGCGCAACUUCCAGCGGACAACCACGUCCGCUCAUCACAAGUAAUAACUUUAGGCCUUUCGAAGGGUAA